rnacentral:rRNA from 1 species
ACGCACGCUGGCGGCGUGCUUAACACAUGCCAGUCGCACGGAAAGGCCCUGCUUGCAGGGUACUCGAGUGGCGAACGGGUGAGUAACACGUGGGUGAUCUGCCCUGCACUUCGGGAUAAGCCUGGGAAACUGGGUCUAAUACCGGAUAGGAGCCAUUUUUAGUGUGAUGGUUGGAAAGUUUUAUCGGUGUAGGAUGAGCUCGCGGCCUAUCAGCUUGUUGGUGGGGUAAUGGCCUACCAAGGCGGCGACGGGUAGCCGGCCUGAGAGGGUGGACGGCCACAUUGGGACUGAGAUACGGCCCAGACUCCUACGGGAGGCAGCAGUGGGGAAUAUUGCACAAUGGGCGCAAGCCUGAUGCAGCGACGCCGCGUGGGGGAUGACGGCCUUCGGGUUGUAAACUCCUUUCGCUAGGGACGAAGCUUUUUGUGACGGUACCUAGAUAAGAAGCACCGGCUAACUACGUG